AUUUAACGCUGGCGGCAGGCCUAACACAUGCAAGUCGAGCGGAUGAGUGGAGCUUGCUCCAUGAUUCAGCGGCGGACGGGUGAGUAAUGCCUAGGAAUCUGCCUGGUAGUGGGGGACAACGUUUCGAAAGGAACGCUAAUACCGCAUACGUCCUACGGGAGAAAGUGGGGGAUCUUCGGACCUCACGCUAUCAGAUGAGCCUAGGUCGGAUUAGCUAGUUGGUGAGGUAAAGGCUCACCAAGGCGACGAUCCGUAACUGGUCUGAGAGGAUGGUCAGUCACACGGGAACUGAGACACGGUCCAGACUCCUACGGGAGGCAGCAGUGGGGAAUAUUGGACAAUGGGCGAAAGCCUGAUCCAGCCAUGCCGCGUGUUUGAAGAAGGUCUUCGGAUUGUAAAGCACUUUAAGUUGGGAGGAAGGGCAGUAAGUUAAUACCUUGCUGUUUUGACGUUACCAACAGAAAACGCACCGGCUAACUUCGUGCCAGCAGCCGCCGUAAUAC
rnacentral:rRNA from 1 species